GGGUUCUUUUCUUAUCUUAAUUGAUUUGUUCUACAGAGACCGAACUCCUCCAAUCCAAUUUUUAUUCAUAAUUGGAAGUUCCUACGA
rnacentral:tRNA from 1 species